rnacentral:tRNA from 1 species
AGAAGAUUAGUUAAAUUAUAACAUUAAUUUGUCAAAUUAAAAUUACAAUUGUAUUUUCUA